rnacentral:sRNA from 1 species
GAAACAGCAUGCUCAAAAGCUUGGUAGUAUGAGAGAAUGGGACAUUGGCCAAAAAAAGGUCAUUGAAUGUGAGUAAAAAGUAGUGAGAAAUGGGGCUGGAAAGACUAAUUAGGCUACAUGGGCAGCAUUUUGUAUGCUACAUGACUGACACUGCAGGUGAGAUGAAACCAACAAAGUCUUAAUCUGUGGAGAGACAAGGUCAUAUUUGUUGACCAGACAUGAAAUCUUGGUGGCAGUAUGAAAAAGAUACUGGAGAAUACCGAAAGCAGCAAUCACUGAGAGGGCCGUCACAUUAGUUCAGGUUAUGAAGCCUAAACAAGCAAGGUGGCAGCAAGAAUGGAGAACAGGCGACAGAAACUUUCUGGGAGCCCCUUGACAGAGCGGAAAGUGUCGAUACCCAGUUGUUGUGUAUCCUUUGCAACAGCCGAUGAGUCAUCUCCUGUAUACACCCAAGUGGUUGAAAACACAGAUUCCCCCAUCUGGAAUUUUCAACAGCAGUCAAGGCUAUCAAAAGAGCUGCUUCUGGACCCACAACAAACCCUGGUCUUCAAAGUUUGGCAUAAAGGAGAUGAGGAGAGGGUGAUCGGCUUUG